ACAGAGAUAAAAACGCAACGUAUAUCACCAAGAUAUACCAGAGCCGGUAGGUAGCCCGGCCGUCUCAUAUCAUCAUAAUGAGAUAAGUAACCUGCCCCUCCGGGUUGUCCAUUCUUUGUCCAUA
rnacentral:ncRNA from 1 species